CUGAUUGGGUUAUUUGUUUUUUUGUGUGUUAAAUUUUGAGUUCUCCGGAGGAGGAAGCCCAGCACCAAGCCAGACCAGACAAGAGGAGGAAGCCGGGCACCAAGCCAGACUGGAGGAGGAAGCCUGGUGCAAAGCCAGACCAGACUGGAGGAGGAAGCCCAGCCCCACCCCGGGCGCUAGUCCAGAGGAAGCCCAUCAACCCUUAAAACCCAUCAAAGGGGGCGUGGAUACCAGCAUGAUUCUGUGGCUGAUCCAGGUACCCGGUUUCCAACUCCCUCACCCUUAGCUACGAUAACUCAAAAUACUUCCCACAAGCUUUUGGGGGUGUAGCUAUCAAUGCAAAACAACAACUGUACAGGCACCUUGUUUCCAUCUCAGAGACUAGAGUAGGGAGGAUACAGGUGGACGCUCAUGUCCUUUCACACUGGCUAUAUCCACCACCUUGAACACAGAGGCUCAAACUAGGAAUAGACAACACCACCUACAGGAAGAAAGGAAAACAGAGUUCUGAGAGACUUUUUUUUCUCUCUUCUCUCUCUUUCACAACCUCAACAUAUGUGAAACCAAGAACUAUGCAUGAACAACUGAAUCACCAAAAUAAUAUAAUAUAGAGGAAUUGCAUAUGCCCCACCUUCCCCCCAUUUUUUCCUUCUUUCUUUCUUACUUUCUUUUUCCUUCUCUCUUUUUUCUCUUUUCUUCCUUGUUAUUUUUUCUUCAUUCUUACUCCCUCUAUCCCACUUUCAACCCCCUAACUUUUACUAUCUAUAUGUAGGGUAACUAUCUAAAUACAGAUAGGAGGUUGAAUCUAUACAUCCUUCCAUAAAUUACCAGUCUAUUAAUUAGAGUUCUCCAAAGGUGCUAAGUUAGUUUAACGUCAUACCCUCACUCCUUUCCCUCUAAGUAUAACAUCCUUUGUCUGAAAUUAAGUUUUCUAUAUGCCACCAGAUAUGUUAUGCCUUUU
rnacentral:lncRNA from 1 species